rnacentral:rRNA from 1 species
AACGAACGCUGGCGGCAGGCUUAACACAUGCAAGUCGAACGAGCUGGGGGCUUCGGUCCGCGAUGCUAGUGGCGCACAAGUGAGUAACACGUGGGAAUAUACCCGUUAGUACGGAAUAACCAAGGGAAACUUUGGCUAAUACCGUCUACGCGCUUCGGGGGGACGGUUUAUCGCUAAAGGAUUAGCCCGCGUCUGCUUAGGUAGUUGGGGAGGUUAUGGCUCACCAAUCCGAGGAUCAUUAGCUGGUCUGAGAGGAUGAUCAGCCACACUGGGACUGAGACACGGCCCAGACUCCUACGUGAGGCAGCAGUGGGGAAUAGUGGACGAUGGGGGCAACCCUGAUCCAGCCAUGCCGCGUGAGGGAAGAAGGUCUUCGGGUUGUAAAGCUCUGUCGACGGGGACGAUGAUGACGGUACCCGUAUAAGAAGCGCCGGCAAACUUCGUG